GACGAACGCUGGCGGCGUGCCUAAUACAUGCAAGUAGGACGCAGUUGCGAACGGGUGAGUAACGCGUAGGUAACUACCUAUUAGAGGGGGAUAACUAUUGGAAACGAUAGCCAAUACCGCAUACUAGUAGAUGGACCUGCGUUGUAUUAGCUAUUAGGUAGGGUAAUGGCCUACCUAGGCAACGAUAAAUAGCCGACCUUGGAGUGGGAUCGGCCCCACAGGGACUGAGGAGCGGCCCAGACUCCGACGGGAGGCAGCAGUAGGGAAUCUUCGGCAAUGGAGGGAACCCUGACCGGGCAACGCCGCGUGAGUGAAGAAGGUUUUCGGAUCGUAAGGCUCUGUUGUUAAGGAAGCGGUACUUAACCAGAAAGGGACGGCUAACUACGUGCCAGCAGCCGCGGUAAUUC
rnacentral:rRNA from 1 species